UUGCACUGAUUUUGUUAUCAGAAAAGAAACACAUCAGCAAGUACCUUUGUAUCAAACAAUUACAGUUUUAUAGCUUUUCUGAUUGUUUUCUGUUUAUCGUUUCUGAGGAAUUAUAAAUUGGAUUUGCUUUUUAAAAUGGGCGCCUUUCAUUACUUCAAUUCGAUUCAGGAGCAGUAGUGAAAAAGGUACGAUGUUUGUUUAAAUACCUUUUUUAGUUUUCAGGUCUUGUGCUUGUAUUGUAAUAUCUAAUUGGACUAUAAGAAACCAUCUGGAAAAUUCAAAGAGUGCUGCGAUCAUUAGCUCGGAUAUCAUGGUGGCGGUGGACCUGCUGUGACCCUGGAGAGAGGACUGCCAUCACCAGACAUGGAAACACUCAAUCUUGGUUCGCGAGGACACUCACUCUUGAUUGAGUAUUUGAGUCAUUGUGACUCUUAGCUACUUCGGGAGUCAAGUUACGUUGGUGUAGCGAUGUAUUGGGGCAUCGCAAAUCACUGUUACUAGGCUAAGCGUCGUCAGUAUUAAAAGCAUGCCUUGAUCCUA